GGGAAUUUCAGGCUGAAUGCACAACCCCGGCUGCAGCGACCGCUGUGACUCAGCGGGAGGUGGCGGUGGGGUCUGAAGGUGCACGUGGUGCCCGCAGCCAGCCGGCAGUUCCAUGCUGAGGCCUGGUCUGUAGCUUCCACUACCAUGCCGGAGUUGGGGGCGAACUACUGAUCGGUCUGAAGCUCUUCUUUCACAGACUCUAAACGCAAAGUGGACAUAAGGUCGACGGAAAAUAAACAGCUUGAUAGAAAAGGAAAAAAAAUCUAGAAUCUUCGCUCUAAAGAAGAGAAAAUAGACGGUAAUUCUCUGGAUAUAGGCUCUGUAGGUGUCUGAUAAAGUGAAGAGGUUUGUGUUUUAUUGGAGCAUGUGAUUCUGCAUACUUGUACUGAAGAUGGCAGUGAAUUUGUGGAAGCAUAUUGCAGAUUACAUGAGAUUAACUACUUAUUUCAACACACAGUGUCAGAAUCCAACCUGUAACACAUACAAUACGAGUUAAAUUCCAGAGGGAGAUCAAUGAUGAAAGGAUCUGAAUGUUAUUCUGGUCAUGAUCAGCCAGCUAUAAUCGUGUAUGAGGGCUACACAUGAGAGAAAAGUAGAGCAAGAAGACAGAGGGACUCUGCAUCUGUGGAAAAUUUUUGGAGAAGCAGCCUAAUUCUUUCUGGACCAUUCACCAACCCUGAACU